CUUUAUAUAAAUUAAUAAGCAUCAAUUAAAUGAUGAGUCCUUUAUAUUCAUUUUUCAGAUGUCAUACUUGAGAACCACAGAAAUGAAAUCUUGCUCCAGAACACACAGCUGGUUGGUGGCAAGGCCCCGCCAGCUGAUUACCAGUCCAGUGCCCUUUCCAGCAAACCACACCAACCUUAACUGACAUCCCAGCCAACCUGACUUCAUGGACAUGCAACCUGUGCAGUCUGACAGGACCCUGAACUUAGAACAGCCCACACUUGGUUUAAUGCUCUGUUGUCACUUCCUUGAAAUUUCUAAUAACUCUUCAAACAAAGGACACACAUUUUCGUUUUGCACUUGUUUCCACAAAUUAUGCAGCUGGUCCUGCAUUCCAGACUGGCAGUGAAACAUCUGCUAUUAGAUUUUCAUCUUUCAACAUAUGAUUCUUUUGUUCAGAACAUUAUCACUACAAUAAGUAUAUACGUUUGUGAUCUUUUCCUGUCUUGUCAACUUUGCAAACAAAGAAAUUUCUCUCUCUUUUCUGCCUGUAAAACACCUUUUGUUGCACAUGCAAACUAGAGGUUUCACACUUUGUUGGUUUGGCCAGUUCUGAGACUGCAGAAUAAGUCACCAUCAAGAUAUACUUUAAAAGUUUUGCAAAGCCAUCAGGAGCCAAGGUGUGACCAUAUUACUAAAACAGAGGGGCUGAAAACUUUCUUUUUUCUUUUCAACUAGACUUUUUUUCUGAAAACUGGCUAUGGUUAUACAUGACACAUCAGCAACAUUUCAAUCAUAUCUCAUGCUAUCCUCAGUCUUAACUGAGUAGGUAGUCAGUAAGCCAAAACUUACACCUUGGUUUCCCUUUUCCUCUGUCAUCAGCAGUCACAUCCUAGCACUCACAACCAAAUUAUCUCAUCCAGACUUUGGCGUAGAUUUCUUCCACUCAAUAUGAGUCAAUAUUGGAUCCAUGCCCCCACGCUAUUUUGACUUCCGGAACUCCUGACAUCAUGCAAGCCAAACCUACGGAAGAAGCAUGACAUACAGAAUAGAAGUCCACACGGAGUCAGAUUUUCCCCGCAAUUUGACUCAUAAAAUCCCGUAAGUUAGAGGAAGAUUUUUCUGAAUCCCCCCUUUUCUUUUGUGCCUUCUGGCCAUUUUUGAGGAGUGGUUCAAAGAAUAUAGAAGGUAUGCUACUUACACAGUACAAUCAUCAGAUUACAAUAUUCUUAAUUUUAUAUCAGAUGGGAUUGUGUAUUGAUAAUCCAGAGAUUCAUGGUCCUGCUUUGAAGGUUGUAUUUUUGUUCCACAAGGAAUUUUAAUGCACCAAGUGCCAAAUACUUCGAUUGAUAUGGGGUUUCCAAAGAAGGAUGAAAAGUUCUAUUGUGAAAAUGUUGGUUUAUAUCCCAAUUUCAAUUAAUUAAUAUGUGCUUAUUGAAUUGAAUGCCUACUAGAUAUCCAUAGCUUUAGGGGUUACAAAGAAGUUAGCAGUGAGACAAUCCGGUAGGAGCAUAUGUCACCACAUUGGAAGCUAGGAUUGAUUCCUGUUCUUGUUGCUGAAUAGGUAGAAUAGGUAUCCAUAUUCCCCACCUUUUCUCCAUGUACAUCCUCUCCAGGUGGUUCAUAUCGUUAAGAGGACUUAUUAUUGGUCAGAGGGAAAUACACACAUUGACAUAUGUAUUGUGUUUCCUCCUCCUAUACCCAAGGCAGACGUCACUAAUCAGUCACGGCAUUCCUUUCUAUUAAAUCCAGAUAUCACUGCUGAAUCCUUCUCAACACUGAAAUCCAGAUAGAUACUGACUUAUUUAUAUUUCAUUGCUUAUUUUCCCUAUUAGGGCAAAGGUUUACUUGUUGUUAUGCCUCUUAGAUCCUCCAUAUGGGUUCAUUCAACUUACAAAGAAGUAAAAGGCAUAAUCUCUUCCUCCAAGAAAAUUAGUAUUGGGGGAAAACGUAACAAUCCAUGAAGUAAUAUAAGGGAAAGAACUUUGGCCUAAGAGAAAGGAGUCCCAAAUUCUGGUCCUGUGUCUGCAAGUGAUGUGAGAUUUUGAACAAAGCCUUUACCCAUGCCUCAUAUUUAACCACAUCAUCUUUAAAAUGAAGACUUAACUCUAAAUGAACUCUAAGUUUCCUUCUAUUCUUAAUAUCCUACAUUUCUAUGAUUGUGAUUUAUGAGGAAUAUAAGACAUUACUAAGGACUAAGGUUGCAAGAAGUAAAGACUCCAACAGACUUAGAAAUUCAGAGAAAUCAGCCAAGUGCAGUGGCUCAUGCCUGUAAUCCCAGCAGUUUUGGAGGCCAAGGCAGGCAGAUCACCUGAGGUCAGGAGUUCGAGACCAGCCUGGCCAACAUGGUGAAACCUCAUCUCUACUAAAAAUACAAACCCC
rnacentral:lncRNA from 1 species